UACGUAGGUGGCAAGCGUUGUCCGGAUUUACUGGGCGUAAAGGGCGCGUAGGCGGCCCGCUAAGUCGAACGUGAAAUCCCCGGGCUCAACCCGGGAACUGCGUCCGAUACUGGCAGGCUUGAAUCCGGGAGAGGGAUGCGGAAUUCCAGGUGUAGCGGUGAAAUGCGUAGAUAUCUGGAGGAAUACCGGUGGCGAAGGCGGCAUCCUGGACCGACAUUGACGCUGAACGGCGAAAGCUAGGGGAGCAAACGGG
rnacentral:rRNA from 1 species